rnacentral:tRNA from 1 species
GCCCCAGUGGCCUAAUGGAUAAGGCACUGGCCUCCUAAGCCAGGGAUUGUGGCUUCAAGUCCCAUCUGGGGUG